AUAUGCUUAGUCUGUCACAGUGGCAGGUCUGGCACUGGGUUAAGGGAGGAAGAGACUGAGUAUUUGGUAGAAAUUUUUUGAAUAUUUUCAAUGAGUGGAACAAGAUGGGCGAUAAGGGAAGAAUUAAGAGGUAAAUCUCAGAUGGUAGGCCUUCAGGAGAAAGAGUUUGACUACGCAAUUGGCUCAAAUGGAAGAAAAAGAUCUCUGUGAGUGGCAAGAUUUAUAAGGCUACAAACACUGCCAUUCAUGUAACCGGUUGUUUGUACGUAAAUUGGUUUUCUCUUUCUCUAUCUGGAAGCUUUUGGGAUCUUCUCUUUAUCCCUCAGGUUUUGAAAUUUCACAGUGAUGGGGCUUUACAGGGGACGUGUUUUCCAUUCAUUGAGCUGGGCAAUCAGUCCAACCUUUAUUUUGGGAAAUUUUCUUCGAUUGUCACUUUGAUAAAUUUCUGCCCACUACUUUUUCUGUUCUCUAUUCUCUCUCCGGAAUUGCCAUUAUUUAGAUGUUGAGCCUCCUGUAUUUUUCCUUUCUUAUUGUACAUCUCUGCCUUUUUGUUUUACUUUCUUGGUGAUUUCCCUAAUUUUUUUCUGAGUUCUUCUGACUUCCUUUUUUCUUUUAGGGUAUUUUGGGGGUUUUCUUUGUCCUAUUCUUUCAUGUUGGAGGAUUUCCUUGACUUUUGGGUGAUUCCUGGCUGACUAUAUGCUCGGACACGGCUCAUCAACCAGUGGGUUUGACUGAAGGGAGAUGCCAGCUCUUCCACCAGUUGCUGCAAAUGUCAGGAUCUGGAGGUCUUUAUUCUGGAAUGGUUUGUUUUUCUAGGAAAAGAUCUCUAACCUUUCUGUUCCCAGUGUUUUAUAGCAGGGAGUAGAGAAGGUGGGAAAGGGAGGAAGGCUGAGGCUGUUAAUCUUCAAUAUGCCAACUUUUAGUAAUCCUCAUGUUUUGAAAUUUUGAAAACUGCUGGACAUAUGCCAAAAUUUUUACAAACUUCUGUCUUCCUUCCACUUGCUGCCUUCCUCUUCUUGACCAGGUGAUCUUGAGCCCAGAAAGCCCCUGCUUCAGUUUUCUCUCACUGAAGGUUUGAGGAAUGAGUGUGUAGAUGUGGGAUAUGACUGUCUCUUUUACAGACUUUCAAACAAUCCUUCUUUCAGUUGCUUCCCAGCAGGGCCUCUCUCUGCAUGUGCUCUUAUGUCACUGGUCGUUCCUCCUUCUGCUAUCCAUCUUUCUAUACUAUGGUUUAUUGUUUCAGAUGUCUCUUAUUAAGUGACAGCAAAGUUGGAGUCUGUGUUUCUUAUUCUUUCUGUUGCUUUGGGGUGAUUAUUUAGAAGAGAAACAUAUAGAAAUAUCCCACCAUCUUAAAAUUAGAAGUCCUUAACCUCUACUUACGGACCCAUUUACAAUAGUCUAUUUCUUACCCCCAUCCAUGGGAGAGGGAGAAAUUAGCACCCCUACAUUUCCUCUUACUUCUUCUUCCUCCUGCUCCCACUUUCAAUUUCUAUCAGCUAUAUCACCAAUUUAAAUUUUUUAAGGUUUAGAUUUAAACAUACUUUGUCUAUCGGUAGAUUCUGAAAACUGAAAACAGAACACAUCAUUCACAAUACACAAAUACAUGAACAUUAGUCACUGAAGAAUCAAGUAAUGCAAUUUGAUUCAUUGAAAAAGGAAAUACAAUUCCUCUGUCAGUACACUUCUGCAGCUUUCAGGAGAAUGUGAAGGGUCUAGUUUUCUUACACUCUGUGAGCUGCUCAAAACACUACAUUUUAGUUUGACUCAGAUUGGGACCAACACUUUCUUAUAAGCUUUAUGUGUUUCUUAGACCGUCUACAGUUGAGUUUACUGGAGGAGAAGAGGGAGCCUCUAUUCUUUUAAGGCCAGAAGAGUUUAUCCACCUUGCCUAGGAGUUGAGAUUGACUUCUCUGCUUCCCUCUGUAGUGAUCAUGACAUCUGACCCUCAUCCUGGUAUGAGCCACAUUAUGAACCCUGCUGCCCAUCAUGUCGCCCCACAGCCUCCUGCUGCUGUUAGCAUUGAUUCUUCCUUCCAUCUUCUCUCUCAGCUUGGAUUUUUAGACCCUGAAAUCUGCCUUAAUUCAUCUCUCUUGAAAACUUCUGUUGCUGCUCUUGGAUCUGGUAAUAUUUUUUGUCAGCUUUCCUCUUGAAUAAGUGAAUGUUUUCUAAGGAGUCCAAAUUCCUCUGACUUGAAUCUCAGAAUAUCAGAGCCAGAAGGAACCUCAAAGUCAGCUGGACCAAUGGUUCCAGCCUGCGGCAUUUGGAUUCUCAGAGACUUUGGAGUUAUUGCUGAUUUGAGUAAGAUUUGCUCGCUGAAUGAACAGCCAGCUCCGGAGGAAUAAAUUCAGAUCUCAUGCAUAAACUCAGAGUUCUCACAGCCCAAGAUUCGAUGGUGACCCAAGACUCCCUCACAGCUGAGGCUGCCUCAUCGAGAAAAUGAAGGACGAGAGCACUUCAGCUGCCACCAGCACAGCCCCAACACUCUGCAGUGCUGAUGACGGGCACUGGUUGAGCAACCGAAAUCAUCCAUUACAAAGGUCUCAGGACACAGCUGUGACAUGCGACUCCACAGAGACCUCAUGUUAAUCCCGGAUAUUUCUGAAUUUCAUUCCUGUUCAGAAGGAGCCUGUCUCUAAGUACUUGAGAAUAGGAAAGAAGCUUCUAUGUCAUCACUCUGGCAUCUUUCAUUUCAGUAAAAAAAAGAAAAUUGAUUUUGAGAUUUCUGUUCUAUAUGGCACUUAAUGUGAAAUAUCUAGUUCUAAAGUGAUUUAGAAAAAGAAAAAAGUGCACUGUGGUGUUAAAAUCUAUUUAUCUUCUUUUAUUCUCAAGGGCAAGAAAUGAAAAUAAUAACAGAUAACAGUAGAUUUUCAGUGUGGUGACAGAAAGAGGUUAUCAGGAAAAUCCCAGGGUGAAAAUAAAGUAGAAAAGCAAGAAUACAGUUUGAGAAAGAUGUGGAAGAAAGAUAUGAAGCUAGAAAGGAAAAUAAGAGAUUGUCAGUGACAGCCAAGAUUCUUAAAAGAUAGAAGAGUUCUUACUGAUUCAUCUGUAAGUAGAGGUAACAGAGGAAAAAAAAAACAAGAGAUGAACACCAUGAUGCUAGGAUCGGAAAUCUCAGGGGUAUGGUGUUGUCGUUAAAUUCUGCCUUUGGCUAAAAAAAAAAAAUCAGAAAAAGAGAUUUAGGGAAAUACGCAUGGGAAAUUGUGUGAAAUGAGUUGUUGAUAAAGUAAAAGAAAGUAUACAAGAAACACGGAAAUAUCUUUAAGCCGCUGCCUCUCCAACAUCCAUUCUAAGUUGUUAAGAGAAUGAGUUAAUGGAUUUAGAGAAGUUCUGAUCAUUAUAUUCGGGGGGCACUUUGGAUGCAGUAUUUCAGAAAGCUGUCAAAAUAAGUACAUCUCUUCAAGAUAUUAGAGGAAAAAACAAGAAAAAACAAGCACACAUGGACCUAAUUUUCUUCUUUUUUGCUCUCCUUCCUAAGAAAGGCCUUCCUGGAGGGUGUUGUGCUGAGUGAAAUAAGCCACAGAGGCAUAUUCAUGAUGACAGUUUAAAAAUCUUUGUCGGGUCAUUCCGACAUCUCUGUCAUCUUGGUGCUGGUAUCUGUUGAUUGUCUGUUUUCACUUAGUUUAUCUUCCUUGUUCUUGAUGUAAUGAGCAAUUAUUUUUUUACUGAAUUCUGGGCAUCUGGGGCAUUAUGUUGUGAGACUCUGGGUCUUAUUUAAGCCCUCAUUUUUUCUGGUUUCCUCUGACAUUACUUGAGCAGGGGAAGAAGAGGGGACCCGCCACCACUGCCAGGUGAGAGUAAGUUUCCACUUGCCCUUUGUUGACAUAGAGGUGGGGUUCCUCUUUACUGCUUGAUGUGGGUGGGAGUUCUGGCUCCCUACUAGGUCUCUGCUGAUACCUACCUGGCUGGGCAGCAUCCAGAUGCCUCACUACUCUCCUCACAUGGCCUCCGCUGACAUCAUGGUGGGGCUGUGCGGGGACCUCCGUGCUGCUGGGCAGUGGUGAAAGUUCUGACUGUCCAUUAGGCUUCUUUAGACACCAUCCCAGUGAGGAUGGGGAGGGCGCCUGACUGCCGCCAAAUGGAGAUGGAAGUCCAGGCUCCCAGUUGAUCUCCACUGACAGCAUGAGGAGGCCUCAUUAGCUCCAGGGGAUGAAAGUCCUGGCUCUCUACUCAGCCCUUUCUGACAACACCCUGGCAGAGAGGUUUGGGCUCCUUGUUAAAACUCCACAGAAAUGGAAGUCCAGGCUCCCCACUCAGCCUUACUGGAAUGGGUGGGAGAGGGGUCAUAGAUUUUUCUGUAGUGUUUGGCUGGAGUAGACCAGUUAUUAUCUAAAUGUUUCCUAUCUUGCGAGGUUGCUCCUUUUCCUAGAGAGAGUGGGCUUCUGUUGGGGCUUUUUCUUUCUAGAGUCAUUGGCAUUUCCAGGCUGCCAGCUCCUUCAGCUCCAAGUCUGGGAAAUAUAAGGCAAAAAAGAAGACCCAGGGAACUCACCACCAUACUGUUCCUUGGAUUCCGAGGUCCCUAGUUGGUCUGCCUUCUUCUCUCCACAUUUCAGAGUCUUCUUGUGUUUGUUUCUGUGGACUGUCCAGGGUUUUCAGUUGUCUUUAGCAGGAGGACCAGGAAAAGGUACAGCUGUUCCACUUCCCACAUAUGGAAUCUUUCCAGAUCAUUCACAUACAGAUAACAACAGUACCUGCCUCCUAGAGACCUCAAAGGGUUAUUGUGAGGAUUAAAUGAGUUAAUUGGACCUUUGGAGCAGUGGCUGGCACAUGGUAAGCCUUAUAUAAGUGUUAUCUCUUCUUGUUAUUAGAUAAACAGUAUAAUGGGGUUGUUAAGGGAACAGAGUCUGGGCCCAGACUACCAGGAUUUAAAUCCUAGCUCUUACCCUUAAUAGAUGUGUUAGUCUUUGGGAAAUUAACUGAAUCUCUCUGUGUCUAAACAUUCCCACUGUAAAUGGCAAUAAUAAUAGUUUCUUCUUCACAAAGUUAUUGUGUGAACUGAAAGAGUUAAUAUAUCUCUAAAGCUCUUAGAUGAUUGCCUUGCACAAAGUGAGCUCUAUUUAAGUAUUAGAUAUUAUUCUUUUAAGCUAAAGUACUUCAUUUUCUCCUCAAAGCACCCUCUAAAAUAAGUGGUAAAGCAUCACUAUCUCCAUGUAUAAAUGAAGAAACAGAAGAGGUUCUGAGGCAUGCAAUGACCUGCCCGAGGUCACAGAGCCAGUAUGUGGCAGAGCCAGCUUGAGCCACAGAUCCUCUGACUGCAAGUCUAGGGCUCACGGCAUCAUGUAAGCCCUGAAUUGAGGCUUGGUUAGGAGUGCAAGAUGAAAACCAGGAUUCAUGCUUAGAGAACAGGGCAAGCAGACAGCUGCCGAAAUCACACGUGGGUGGGCAAGGCAGCAUGAAGAUAGGAACAAAGUGGAAAGAAGGCCAGGCGGGAGUCUGGUUGUUGGGCUAAGUCCAUAUCAGGAAAUUGGUGUUGAAGAGACCACCAAGAUGAUUUCCAGUGAGAGAUUUCUACCCCUCCAGAAGGUGUGCCAUCAACGUCUCCUGUUCACAGGGCAGUGACGGGUUUCCUUAGAGCUCAGCACUCCCACUCCAAGGCAGCUUAUGCUCUUCAGAGAGACUCCAGCUCCAAGAAAGCAGGGGCUGUGCCUUCUUCAGUUCCGAAGCUCCUCAAGUCUGACUCGUGAAAUGGGGUCCUUCCUCAAGGGAUUCCCGCUGCCGCCCCUGCCCAGCCUGCCGUCUACAUACUUCGGAGCCUGUCCAAGUCCAGCUUGUGCCUCAGGGCUCAUACCGAGUGCCACCAAGCCUUCCUGGAGACACCAGCCCACACUGAGCUCGCCCCUUCCUAAACCCUUAGCGUUAACUAUCUCUGCCAUAUGUUUUGGAAUGUGUUUAUUUAAGCAUCAUAUAAUAUCUAGUCCUAUAUUUUUCCUGA